GCUGGGCAUGGUGGUGUACAUCUGUAAUCCCAGUAGCUCCGGAGGCUGAGGCAGGAGGAUUGCGAGUUCAAAGUUAGUCUCAGCAACUUAGGGAGACCCUGUCUCUA
rnacentral:sRNA from 1 species